rnacentral:rRNA from 1 species
GAUGAACGCUGGCGGCGUGCCUAAUACAUGCAAGUCGAGCGAACAGAUGAGGAGCUUGCUCCUCUGACGUUAGCGGCGGACGGGUGAGUAACACGUGGAUAACCUACCUAUAAGACUGGGAUAACUUCGGGAAACCGGAGCUAAUACCGGAUAAUAUAUUGAACCGCAUGGUUCUAUAGUGAAAGACGGUUUUGCUGUCACUUAUAGAUGGAUCCGCGCCGCAUUAGCUAGUUGGUAAGGUAACGGCUUACCAAGGCAACGAUGCGUAGCCGACCUGAGAGGGUGAUCGGCCACACUGGAACUGAGACACGGUCCAGACUCCUACGGGAGGCAGCAGUAGGGAAUCUUCCGCAAUGGGCGAAAGCCUGACGGAGCAACGCCGCGUGAGUGAUGAAGGUCUUCGGAUCGUAAAACUCUGUUAUUAGGGAAGAACAAAUGUGUAAGUAACUGUGCACGUCUUGACGGUACCUAAUCAGAAAGCCACGGCUAACUACGUG